CUUGACCCCGUUUCCUGCCUCGAUUUGGUUCUCUGGUUGUCAUGAAAUAGCUCCAUCAGGUCAUUGAGGAGGGUGCUUGGAUUGAAAAUUCACUGGCAUGUGAAAUGUGAAGGUUUUAGAUUUGAAUUGGAGACUUUGAUUCAAGGUUGGAAUUUCAGAUGUGAUUGAGGUGCGGAUUGUGGAUGAUUUAC